UAUCUCUGUAGAGUCUGCAUAUCAAUAAGCGGAGGAAAAGAAACUAACAAGGAUUCCCCUAGUAACGGCGAGUGAAGCGGGAAGAGCUCAAAUUUGAAAUCUUCAAGGUUUGACCUUGACGAAUUGUAGUUUAAAGAAGUGUUUUCGGUUAGAGGAGUAGUAAAAGUUCUUUGGAAUAGGACAUCAUAGAGGGUGAGAAUCCCGUAUUUGACUAUUCUUUCUAGCUUUGUGAUACACUUUCAAAGAGUCGGAUUGUUUGGGAAUGCAGUCCAAAAUGGGUGGUAAAUUUCAUCUAAAGCUAAAUAUUGGCGAGAGACCGAUAGCGAACAAGUACCGUGAGGGAAAGAUGAAAAGAACUUUGAAAAGAGAGUUAAACAGUACGUGAAAUUGUCAAAAGGGAAGCGUUUGACACCAGUGUCGUUUUUCCGAAAAUCAAUUAAAAAUUGAUUCAUGCCAGGUUGUAUUGACCUUAUCAGCUUGCAAUUUGGUUUUGGGUCUCUUUUUGAUGCACUUUUCGGUCAACAAGUCAACAUCAAUUUCCUUUGCUGUAAAAAGGUAAGAGGAAGGUGGCUUCAAUUUCGGUUGAAGUGUUUAUAGCCUUUUAUCUCUGCAGUCGGGGAGAUUGAGGUCUGCAGCGUAGAUCCUUCGGGGCUAGAUACAUUUAUGCUAAGUUAUAGCUUUUCAUAGACAACUUGUUGACUAUGUUUAGUCAUGUAGCUUACUCGUAAGUGCUAUUUUACCUACGCUUAGGAUGUUGAAGACUCUACAGAGAUA
rnacentral:rRNA from 1 species